rnacentral:rRNA from 1 species
AGUUGAUCUGGCUCAGAUUGAACGCUGCGGCAGGCCUAACACAUGCAAGUCGAACGGUAACAGGAAGAAGCUUGCUCUUGCUGACGAGUGGCGGACGGGUGAGUAAUGUCUGGGAAACUGCCUGAUGAGGGGGAUAACUACUGGAAACGGUAGCUAAUACCGCAUAACGUCGCAAGACCAAAGAGGGGGACCUUCGGGCCUCUUGCCAUCGGAUGUGCCCAGAUGGGAUUAGCUAGUAGGUGGGGUAACGGCUCACCUAGGCGACGAUCCCUAGCUGGUCUGAGAGGAUGACCAGCCACACUGGAACUGAGACACGGUCCAGACUCCUACGGGAGGCAGCAGUGGGGAAUAUUGCACAAUGGGCGCAAGCCUGAUGCAGCCAUGCCCGCGUGUAUGAAGAAGGCCUUCGGGUUGUAAAGUACUUUCAGCGGGGAGGAAGGGAGUAAAGUUAAUACCUUUGCUCAUUGACGUUACCCGCAGAAGAAGCACCGGCUAACUCCGUGCCAGCCGCCGC